UACGUAGGGGGCAAGCGUUGUCCGGAUUUAUUGGGCGUAAAGAGCGUGUAGGCGGUUUGGUAGGUCCGCUGUGAAAACUCGAGGCUCAACCUCGGAGACGCCGGUGGAAACCAUCAGACUAGAGUCCGGGAGAGGUGAGUGGAACUGCGAGUGUAGAGGUGAAAUUCGUAGAUAUUCGCAAGAACACCAGUGGCGAAGGCGGCUCACUGGCCCGGUACUGACGCUGAGGUGCGAAAGCGUGGGGAGCAAACAGGG
rnacentral:rRNA from 1 species